rnacentral:rRNA from 1 species
UUUUCGCAAUGCCCGAAAGGGUGACGAAGCGACGCCGCGUGGGUGAGGAAGGCCUUCGGGUUGUAAAGCCCUGUCAGGAGUUAAGAAAUGUAGAUUCGCUAAUAUCGGGUCUAUUUGACAAAGGCUCCAAAGGAAGCCACGGCUAACUCUGUGCCAGCAGCCGCGGUAAUACAGAGGUGGCAAGCGUUGUUCGGAAUUAUUGGGCGUAAAGAGCACGUAGGUGGAUUUGUAAGUCAGAUGUGAAAGCCUUCUGUUCAACGGAAGAAUUGCAUCUGAAACUACAAACCUUGAGUGUAGGAGGGGAGAAUGGAACUUCUGGUGGAGCGGUGAAAUGCGUAGAUAUCAGAAGGAACGCCGGCGGCGAAAGCGAUUCUCUGGCCUAUUACUGACACUCAGUGUGCGAAAGCUAGGGGAGCAAACGGGAUUAGAUACCCCGGUAGUCCUAGCCGUAAACGAUGGGCACUAAGUAGAGGGGUU